rnacentral:rRNA from 1 species
AGUGAACGUUGGCGGCGUGGAUUAGGCAUGCAAGUCGAGCGAGAACCGUAGCAAUACGGGGACAGCGGCGAAAGGGACAGUAAUGUGUAGGUACCUACCCCGAGGUCUGGGAUAGCUGCGGGAAACUGCAGGUAAUACCGGAUAAUGUCUUCGGACCAAAGGUGUGAUUCCACCUUGGGAGGGGCCUGCAUCCUAUUAGCUAGUUGGCGGGGUAAUGGCCCACCAAGGCAACGAUGGGUAGCGGGUGUGAGAGCACGACCCGCGUCAUUGGGACUGAGAUACUGCCCAGACACCUACGGGUGGCUGCAGUCGAGGAUCUUCGGCAAUGGGCGAAAGCCCGACCGAGCGACGCCGCGUGCGGGAUGAAGGCCUUCGGGUUGUAAACCGCUGUCGUAGAGGAGGAAAUGCAGGGGGGUUCUCCCUUCUGUUUGACCUAUUCUAGGAGGAAGGACGGGCUAAGUUCGUGCCAGCAGCCGCCGUAA